CCUUCGAUAGCUCAGUUGGUAGAGUGGAGGACUGUAGAUCCUUAGGUCGCUGGUUCAACUCCGGCUCGAAGGA
rnacentral:tRNA from 2 species